GAUAAGAUGAGCACAGUGCUGGGUAUCUGGUGAGUUUUCAAAAAUGUUAUUUGUUCCUAGAAUCUGAAUCUAAGGAGCUUGGACUCUUUCCUAUUGGCAGCAAGGAGCUUCUUUAGAAGCCGGGGAGUGAUCUGCUUAAAUGUGAGUUUUAGAAAGUUAAUUCUGGCUUGGAAGCAGUACAUUAGGAGAGUUGGAAGGAGAGAGAGGUUGGAAGUACAAAGAUCAGCUAUUAGGCUUUUGAAAUAAUCCAACUGAUGAAGACCUGUUUGAACUGAGUUACUGAGGUGGAUGGGGAUGGAGGGUAGAAGGGGAGAGGGGUAUAGAUAGAGAAAAGGAGAGAGAAGGAAAGGAGGGAUAUUGAGGAGAUAGCUUCAGAACAUAAGAAAAUUGAUUGGAUGUGAGAGUAUGAGAGAGAGGAGAUGAGGAGAGUGGGAUAAUGCCCAGGUUGCUAGCUGGGCCUACUGAGUGAAUGAAUGAGAAUACUAAGGAGGAUAAAUUCAGAAGGAACAGUUAAGAGAGGAUGUGAAGGAGGAAAACAAUGAGUUUGGUUGUAGUCAGAGUAUGUCUGAGUUGUGUGGGGGGCAUUCAGGACUAAGAGGGUCAGGGAUAGUGAGUAGUUUGUGAAGAGAUCUGGAGAUGGAGCUCCAGGGUCCCUGACAUCUGAAGGGUAUCUGAAGAGUGACAGGGAGAAAAGGAGCACCUGAGAGUGACUUUCAAAGGUGUGCAGAGAGGGAGGAGGGGGAAGUACCCAAACAUGCCAGGAAGGGGGCCCGACAGCAGCAGAUGCAGCAGGAAGGCCUGGGAGGUGGGAACUGAGAAGAAGCUCUGGUAUGGUAUUUUGGAAGCCACUGGUAACUUUGGGGAGAGCUGUGUGAGUCAGGGACAUGUGGGGGCAGAAGCCGGAAUGCAGAGGAUGAGGAUAGAAAGGGAGAAAUGGAGAUGAUGAGUUUUGAUGGAGAAAAGGAUCACAGAGAAUAUCUUUAAGGCGAGGGAAGAGGGAAGAGUCCCGUUUUCUUAUAAGGUCUUUUCUCUGGAGUCCUGGGAGGCAAGUUAUGGGCAGCACUGCCUCUGGCCGCACCAUGAAGCCUGAGUCUGCUUGCGCUCUGCCCUGGGCCCUGCUCUGUCUGAGCAUUGGGCUUCUAGCUGCCCCCCUCCCCACAGCCUGCCGCUGCUAGGAGGUAGAACUUUAGGACUGGUCCUUGGCCUAUUUCUACCUGUCACCUGGCUCACCUCACCACUCACUCCUCCUCCAUCACAGCAGCCCGGCCCUGUCCCUGGCCUCCCUGGCUAGGGCGUUUGGGGGUCCGUUGGGAGGAGUGCAUCGCUAAAGACUUCUUCCUACUCUCCUGCACCUUCUCCUCCUUGAGUCAAGGCCUCCGGAUCCACAUGGAUAGCUGAGAUCUUUUCUUGGAGAAAGACGCUUUCCUCUUUACUCCAGUCCCUCACUUCCCCGCCUGAUUUUCCUCCUCUUCUGCUGGUCCUAUCUUUUUCUACUGCCUUUAUUCAAUUUCUUGCUUGUGUGCCCUUUUGGGACUCUCUUGUACACUUUCCUCCCUCUCCACCAUCUCAGGAUCUGUGUGUGUGCUGCCUUCCUCCUGUGUGCUUUCUGUCCCUUCAUCUCCAUCUUGUCUUCCUCUCCCACUUCUAUUGCCAAAGGGAGAGAUCCUCUCUGGGCUGUUCCCUGGCCUGUCUGCUCCUCUGGGCUCUGUCCCAGCAGCCACAAUGAGUUCCACACUCCACUCGGUUUUCUUCACUCUGAAGGUCAGCAUCCUGCUGGGGUCUCUGCUGGGGCUCUGCCUGGGCCUUGAGUUCAUGGGCCUCCCCAACCAGUGGGCCCGCUACCUCCGCUGGGAUGCCAGCACACGCAGCGACCUGAGUUUCCAGUUCAAGACCAACGUCUCCACGGGUCUGCUCCUCUACCUGGAUGAUGGCGGCAUCUGCGACUUCCUAUGCCUCUCCCUGGUGGAUGGCCGCGUUCAGCUCCGCUUCAGCAUGGACUGUGCCGAGACUGCCGUGCUGUCCAACAAGCAGGUGAAUGACAGCAGCUGGCACUUCCUCAUGGUGAGCCGCGACCGCCUGCGCACGGUGCUGAUGCUUGACGGCGAGGGCCAGUCUGGGGAGCUGCAGCCCCAGCGGCCCUACAUGGAUGUGGUCAGUGACUUGUUCCUUGGUGGAGUCCCUGCUGACAUACGACCUUCUGCCCUGACCCUUGAUGGAGUACAGGCCAUGCCCGGCUUCAAGGGAUUAAUUCUGGAUCUCAAGUAUGGAAACUCGGAGCCUCGGCUUCUAGGGAGCCAGGGUGUCCAGUUGGAUGCCGAGGGACCCUGUGGUGAGCGUCCCUGUGAAAAUGGUGGGAUCUGCUUUCUCUUGGACGGCCACCCCACCUGUGACUGUUCUACCACUGGCUAUGGUGGCAAGCUCUGCUCAGAAGAUGUCAGUCAAGGUCCAGGCCUCUCCCACCUCAUGAUGAGUGAACAAGGUAGAAGUAAAGCUCGAGAGGAGAAUGUGGCCACUUUCCGAGGCUCAGAGUAUCUGUGCUACGACCUGUCUCAGAACCCGAUCCAGAGCAGCAGUGAUGAAAUCACCCUCUCCUUUAAGACCUGGCAGCGUAACGGCCUCAUCCUGCACACGGGCAAGUCGGCUGACUAUGUCAACCUGGCUCUGAAGGAUGGUGCGGUCUCCUUGGUCAUUAACCUGGGGUCCGGGGCCUUUGAGGCCAUUGUGGAGCCAGUGAAUGGAAAAUUCAAUGACAACGCCUGGCAUGAUGUCAAAGUGACACGCAACCUCCGGCAGCACUCAGGCAUCGGACACGCUAUGGUGACAAUCUCUGUGGAUGGCAUUCUUACCACAACGGGCUACACUCAAGAGGACUAUACCAUGCUGGGCUCGGACGACUUCUUCUACGUGGGAGGAAGCCCAAGUACCGCUGACUUGCCUGGCUCCCCUGUCAGCAACAACUUCAUGGGCUGCCUUAAAGAGGUUGUUUAUAAGAAUAAUGACAUCCGUCUGGAGCUGUCUCGCCUGGCCCGAAUUGGGGACACCAAGAUGAAAAUCUAUGGCGAAGUUGUAUUUAAGUGUGAGAAUGUGGCCACACUAGACCCCAUCAACUUCGAGACCCCAGAGGCUUACAUCAGCUUGCCCAAGUGGAACACUAAGCGUAUGGGCUCCAUCUCCUUUGACUUCCGUACCACUGAGCCCAAUGGCCUGAUCCUCUUCACUCAUGGAAAGCCCCAAGAGAGGAAGGAUGCUCGGAGCCAGAAGAACACAAAAGUAGACUUCUUUGCUGUGGAACUCCUCGAUGGCAACCUGUACUUGCUGCUUGACAUGGGCUCUGGCACCAUCAAAGUGAAAGCCACUCAGAAGAAAGCCAAUGAUGGGGAAUGGUACCAUGUGGACAUUCAGCGAGAUGGCAGAUCAGGUACUAUAUCAGUGAACAGCAGACGCACGCCAUUCACCGCCAGUGGGGAGAGCGAGAUCCUGGACCUGGAAGGAGACAUGUACCUGGGAGGGCUGCCAGAGAACCGUGCUGGCCUAAUUCUCCCCACCGAGCUGUGGACUGCCAUGCUCAACUAUGGCUACGUGGGCUGCAUUCGCGACCUGUUCAUUGAUGGGCGCAGCAAGAACAUUCGACAGCUGGCAGAGAUGCAGAACGCUGCGGGUGUCAAGUCCUCCUGUUCACGGAUGAGCGCCAAGCAGUGUGACAGCUACCCCUGCAAGAACAAUGCUGUGUGCAAGGACGGCUGGAACCGCUUCAUCUGUGACUGCACCGGCACCGGAUACUGGGGAAGAACCUGCGAAAGGGAGGCAUCCAUCCUGAGUUAUGAUGGUAGCAUGUACAUGAAGAUCAUCAUGCCCAUGGUCAUGCAUACUGAGGCAGAGGAUGUGUCCUUCCGCUUCAUGUCCCAGCGAGCUUAUGGGCUGCUGGUGGCUACGACCUCCAGGGACUCUGCCGACACCCUGCGUCUGGAGCUGGAUGGGGGGCGUGUCAAGCUCAUGGUUAACUUAGACUGUAUCAGGAUAAACUGUAACUCCAGCAAAGGACCAGAAACCCUGUAUGCAGGGCAGAAGCUCAAUGACAAUGAGUGGCACACCGUUCGGGUGGUGCGGAGAGGAAAAAGCCUUAAGUUAACCGUGGAUGAUGAUGUGGCUGAGGGUACAAUGGUGGGAGACCAUACCCGUUUGGAGUUCCACAACAUUGAAACAGGAAUCAUGACUGAGAAACGUUACAUCUCCGUUGUCCCCUCCAGCUUCAUUGGCCAUCUGCAGAGCCUCAUGUUUAAUGGCCUUCUCUACAUUGACUUGUGCAAAAAUGGUGACAUUGAUUAUUGUGAGCUGAAGGCUCGUUUUGGACUGAGGAACAUCAUCGCCGACCCUGUCACCUUUAAGACCAAGAGUAGCUACCUGAGCCUUGCCACCCUUCAGGCUUAUACCUCCAUGCACCUCUUCUUCCAGUUCAAGACCACCUCACCAGAUGGCUUCAUUCUCUUCAAUAGUGGUGAUGGCAAUGACUUCAUUGCAGUUGAGCUUGUAAAGGGGUAUAUACACUACGUUUUUGACCUCGGAAACGGUCCCAAUGUGAUCAAAGGCAACAGUGAUCGCCCCCUGAAUGACAACCAGUGGCACAAUGUCGUCAUCACUCGGGACAAUAGUAACACUCAUAGCCUGAAAGUGGACACCAAAGUGGUCACUCAGGUUAUCAAUGGUGCCAAAAACCUGGAUUUGAAAGGUGAUCUCUACAUGGCUGGUCUGGCCCAAGGCAUGUACAGCAACCUCCCAAAGCUUGUGGCCUCUCGAGAUGGGUUUCAGGGCUGUCUGGCAUCAGUGGACUUGAAUGGACGCCUGCCAGACCUCAUCAAUGAUGCCCUUCAUCGGAGCGGACAGAUCGAGCGUGGCUGUGAAGUUGCGUUGACCAAAGCUGACCUGCAAGGACCCAGUACCACCUGCCAGGAAGAUUCAUGUGCCAACCAGGGGGUCUGCAUGCAACAAUGGGAGGGCUUCACCUGUGAUUGUUCUAUGACCUCAUAUUCCGGAAACCAGUGCAAUGAUCCUGGCGCUACGUACAUCUUUGGGAAAAGCGGUGGGCUCAUCCUCUACACCUGGCCAGCCAAUGACAGGCCCAGCACGCGCUCUGACCGCCUUGCCGUGGGCUUCAGCACCACUGUGAAGGAUGGCAUCUUGGUCCGCAUCGACAGUGCCCCAGGACUUGGUGACUUCCUCCAGCUUCACAUAGAACAGGGGAAAAUUGGAGUUGUCUUCAAUAUUGGCACAGUCGACAUCUCCAUCAAAGAGGAGAGAACCCCUGUAAAUGACGGCAAAUACCAUGUGGUACGCUUCACCAGGAACGGCGGCAACGCCACGCUGCAAGUGGACAACUGGCCAGUGAAUGAACAUUAUCCUACAGGCAACACUGAUAAUGAACGCUUCCAAAUGGUAAAACAGAAAAUCCCCUUCAAAUAUAAUCGGCCUGUAGAGGAGUGGCUGCAGGAAAAAGGCCGGCAGUUAACCAUCUUCAACACUCAGGCGCAAAUAGCCAUUGGUGGAAAGGACAAAGGACGCCUCUUCCAAGGCCAACUCUCUGGGCUCUAUUAUGAUGGUUUGAAAGUACUGAACAUGGCAGCUGAGAACAACCCCAAUAUUAAAAUCAAUGGAAGUGUUCGGCUGGUUGGAGAAGUCCCAUCAAUUUUGGGAACAACACAGACGACCUCCAUGCCACCAGAAAUGUCUACUACUGUCAUGGAAACCACUACUACAAUGGCGACUACCACAACCCGUAAGAAUCGCUCUACCGCCAGCAUUCAGCCAACAUCAGAUGAUCUUGUUUCAUCUGCUGAAUGUUCAAGUGAUGAUGAAGACUUCGUUGAAUGUGAGCCAAGUACAGGUAGGUCAGCCAGAAGCUCUAAUGCAGCUAGAUCACUCCGUGCCGCCCUUACAUGGACAUGGCGACUCACUUACACAUUUACUCCUAUCAUCUUCAUCUCCUGUGUAGUUCACUCAUAGAUAUGACCCUCCCCUUCCUGCAUCUUUCCUUCCCAUACUCCCCCUUUCUUUAGCAUUGUUAAAAUUUAUGUGCUGUCAUCCAUCUCCCUAAAUUAAAGAAAGCCUAAAAUUUGUCAAAAAGACAAAAAAAAAUUAAGUAUUUAUCUGAAAACCUAUAAAUGCAGAAAUUCAUUCAAAACCCGUGAGAUUCAUAGAAUUUUUUUGAAAGGCAAAUUAUAAAAGGAAACAGGUUUUUUGUUUGGUUUUUCAAUCAUAGCAAUCGGAAUUAUUUUAAAUUCAAAAAUUGAUGCCCUCCCAAACCCCCCAAAGUAAAAAUUUGUUAAAGUGCAGAUUUUUUUUUUCUUUUUAUGUUAUGUGGUGUGGAUGUAUGUGUUGUUGCCUCCCUGUAUCAUCCUCUGUUGUAAAUUAUUAUAUUUGAAAAAUUAGACAUUUUGCUCAAAACUUUUUAAGAAAUGACAACAAAAAAGCAAGUUACAAGAAUGUGGCAAUUCUAUUUGUCCAAGAGCAUUCUUACACAACUUUCUUUUGUAAAUUUUUCUUUCAUGCCAAAAAACAUGCGGGCAAUUUGUUGAUGAGGUGAAUUAGUUAUCCCUCUUCUUGUAGAAGACCCUUUAGCUACCCCUCCUAUUGCUACUCGUGCACCUUCCAUUACACUCCCCCCUACCUUUCGCCCCCUCCUCACCAUUAUUGAGACCACCAAAGAUUCCCUGUCCAUGACCUCUGAGGCGGGGUUACCUUGCUUGUCGGACCAAGGCAGCGAUGGUUGUGAUGAUGAUGGCUUGGUGAUAUCUGGGUAUGGCUCAGGGGAAACCUUUGACUCUAACCUGCCCCCUACUGAUGAUGAAGAUUUUUACACCACCUUCUCCUUGGUAACAGAUAAGAGUCUUUCCACUUCAAUCUUCGAAGGUGGCUACAAAGCACAUGCGCCCAAGUGGGAAUCCAAGGACUUUAGACCUAACAAAGUCUCCGAAACUAGUAGGACUACUACCACAUCUUUAUCCCCUGAGCUGAUCCGCUUCACAGCUUCCUCCUCGUCUGGGAUGGUGCCCAAAUUGCCAGCUGGCAAAAUGAAUAACCGUGAUCUCAAACCCCAGCCUGAUAUAGUCUUGCUUCCGUUGCCCACUGCCUAUGAGCUAGACAGCACCAAACUGAAGAGCCCACUAAUUACUUCCCCCAUGUUCCGUAAUGUGCCCACAGCAAACCCCACGGAGCCGGGAAUCAGACGGGUCCCGGGGGCCUCAGAGGUGAUCCGGGAGUCGAGCAGCACAACAGGGAUGGUCGUCGGCAUUGUGGCUGCUGCCGCCCUCUGCAUCUUGAUCCUCCUGUACGCCAUGUACAAGUACAGGAACAGGGACGAGGGGUCCUAUCAAGUGGACGAGACGCGGAACUACAUCAGCAACUCCGCCCAGAGCAACGGCACGCUCAUGAAGGAGAAGCAGCAGAGCUCGAAGAGCGGCCACAAGAAACAGAAAAACAAGGACAGGGAGUACUACGUGUAAACAUGCGAACACUGCUCACACGCGAGUUUCACAGUUAUUUCUAUCCACGCCUAUGAAUCUUUGGAUGGUGAGAUCUCACAGAUGUCAGAACUGCUGGAACUAUGAAAUGGGGUAUAUAACCACGACUCUGGUGGGGAAAACCGUUUUUUAAAGGACACACACACACAGCGAUGCAUCUCUGAAGCUCAGCCAUGGCUGCGGCAAGGUCCCAGCGGUCGCUGGGAGGCAGAAGGUUUUGUGCCCUGCUGUAUCAUAAAGCACACACUUAGCGCUCUGGAGCCGGACGGUGGCUCCACCACUUCCGCAGGCCUGGAAGCUUCCUUCUCCGGAGGACCUUUUACUAAAAGGUAGAAGACUUCAUGGCUUACUUGUUCCAUAACUCCAAGUGAGUCUAUAAUGAUGUUUGUGAAGCUUGACUGUAACCAUGUUUUUUCGGUUUAAUUAUGUAAAAAACAAAACUACAACAACAACAAAAAAAGAAAAAAGUAAAAAAAAAACCAAAAACAAAAACAAAAAAAAAACACCAAAAAACAAAAACAAACAAAAAAACCCACAACCCUUAUCUGGUUCUGACCAGUGUGCGUGUAACUUUAAGGUCUGAGGGGAAAAAUGGCUUUUGGGUUUUUGUUUAUUUUUUUGAUAAUGACUGGACAUCGGAAGAGGAAAAAACUCAAAACAAAAGCGAGAGAGACUAUUGCCAUAUGAACUCAAAAGCUACCAUGGUGUUCACUCUACAUAUCAGGUUAUGGUGUCUCUAGAAUCUGUUGUUUGUUUCCUAUAAGAUGCUUUGCUGAACACAUAGCAAAAUUCAUGUGACGGAUGAUAAUAUUGAUUCGAAAAGCUGGUCCCCCAGGAUCUAAUUUCAGAAUUCACCACCCAAACCCCGAACAGAUGGGUUUAGGGCUGGUGUUAUCAGAGCUAUUGGCUUUACUUAACAAUAUUGUUCCUGUCCAUUCACCCAGCCAAAUUGUGUUAAAGAAGAAAGCCCCACAAACUAAAAUAGCCUUUCCUGGGAAGAGGAAGGGGAGGUGGGCUGGAUCUGUGACUGAUUGAAAUGCAUGCAAAUAAAAAAGACAAUAUUAAAGUCUGUUAAAUUAUCAAACCAGACAGUAGGGGAGUUCAACUCGAGAUGGAACCACAAAAGGUCACACAAGCCAAACAUGUCAUGCCAGAGUACAAAACACAUAGUUCUUUCCCCGCCCCAAACAUGACAAUGGUUUUCAUAGUGGUUUAAUUUUGUAGCCUGACAUUUAUGGAUAAUUCUGUCCUUCCAUUUGCUCACUUCUCCCUUCACCCAUCUUUUUUAAAAAACAAAUAAAUAAAUGAAUAAAGCUGCUGUGACACACACAAAAAAGGAAUUUAAUAGUAUAAUAUAUAUAUAAAUAAAUAUAUAUACAGAUAUAUUUAUCAUGGUAUGUUUGAUGGGAUGACUGACACAGGAAAUCUGUUAAAGUCUUGAAGUGGAAUGAGAAUGUUGUUUUAAAAGAAAAUAACAAAACAACAAAAAAGCAAACCUUAAAAUGUGAAGAAAGUGUGAAUUUUAGUUUUGUCACAGUUAACUGUGUCAAAGAGAAUUUAAAAAAAAAACUUCAGAUUUUGUUUACAUAUUUUACUACAUCUUUGCUGGUAUAAUUCCUUAGCCACCUAUGUACAUACUGCUUUAAGAACUGUUUUUUUUUCCUGUUUAUUUCUGUUUGGUUUAUAUUCUGGUUGUCUUUUUCUUUUUGUAAAGAGGAAACAAUGUACAGAAAAACAAUAAACUGGUUGUAUGGCCAUAGCUAUCCAAAAAGCAAGAGACAAAGCAAGACAAAUAUUCACACAAAAAUGACGUGUGUCCUCUGGAGGGUCAGAGAUAUACAAUUUCUUUUGUACAGAUGAAAAUCAAUCAGCUGUUUAGAUUUAGAAAUCUACUCUUGCUGGUCUUUGUAAGUUGCAUGAAUAUUUGACUUUGAAAAAAUAUCUUAAUGACAUGGGGCAAAAAGCGCAAUCUAAAUGGUAGCCUUUACUAAUGUGUAUGGAAAGAGGUGUUCCUCAUUAUCUAAUAUUUCAAUGUGUUAAGAGUUUAAUUUUUUGUUAUCAUUUUAAAAAGACAGGAUUAUAAAGAGAUAUCAAAGCACGAUUUUAGAUAACCUAAAUGGCCCAGCCUAUACGAAGUUGAUUAUAUCUCGAUGUCUGUAAAAGAUUGCUGUUCUUGGAGUCUUGAGGUCUUGUGAACUGAUUUCCUGCUUUCUUUCAUUUUUUCAAUUUGAGUAAUAAUACAUUUGUUAUAUUCCUUUUAGUGUAAGUUUCUAUUUGGACAAUUUUAUGGGAACAUGUGCAUUCUCUAUGUGAGCUUCUAUCAUAUUCCUGUUUUAUUAGCAGAACCUAAAGGAAUUUAUUUUAUGAUGUUGUGACAUUACUGCUUUUUCUUUUUUCUUUUAGUUCAUAUUUGCAUUUUCGUUCAAGGAUAUGCUUAGCAAUAAAAUGUUCUUCCCAAAA